rnacentral:rRNA from 1 species
UACGGGGGGGGCAAGCGUUGUUCGGAAUUACUGGGCGUAAAGGGCUCGUAGGCGGCCAACUAAGUCAGACGUGAAAUCCCCAGGCUCAACCUGGGAACUGCGUCUGAUACUGGAUGGCUUGAAUCCGGGAGAGGGAUGCAGAAUUCCAGGUGUAGCGGUGAAAUGCGUAGAUAUCUGGAGGAACACCGGUGGCGAAAGCGGCUCACUGGACCGUCUCUGGCGCUGAGGUGCGAAAGCCAGGGUAGCGAACGGG